rnacentral:rRNA from 1 species
UACGGAGGGGGCUAGCGUUGUUCGGAAUUACUGGGCGUAAAGCGCACGUAGGCGGCUUUGUAAGUUAGAGGUGAAAGCCCAGGGCUCAACCCUGGAAUUGCCUUUAAUACUGGCAGCCUUGAGUAUGGCAGAGGUGUGUGGAACUCCGAGUGUAGAGGUGAAAUUCGUAGAUAUUCGGAAGAACACCAGUGGCGAAGGCGACACACUGGGCCAUUACUGACGCUGAGGCGCGAAAGCGUGGGGAGCAAACAGG